GACGAACGCUGGCGGCGUGCUUAACACAUGCAAGUCGAACGGAAAGGCCCUGCUUUUGUGGGGUGCUCGAGUGGCGAACGGGUGAGUAACACGUGAGUAACCUGCCCUUGACUUUGGGAUAACUUCAGGAAACUGGGGCUAAUACCGGAUAGGAGCUCCUGCUGCAUGGUGGGGGUUGGAAAGUUUCGGCGGUUGGGGAUGGACUCGCGGCUUAUCAGCUUGUUGGUGGGGUAGUGGCUUACCAAGGCUUUGACGGGUAGCCGGCCUGAGAGGGUGACCGGCGACACGGGGACUGCGAUACGGCCCAGAGUCGUACGGGAGGCAGCAGUGGGGAAUAUUGAACAAUGGGCGGAAGCCUGAUGCAGCAACGCCGCGUGAGGGAUGACGGCCUUCGGGUUGUAACCCGCUUUCGCCUGGGACGAAGCGCGCGUGACGGUAAUGGGUAAAGAAGCACCGGCUAACUACGUG
rnacentral:rRNA from 1 species